AAUUGCUUCUUUCUUCAAUUCUCAGUUCGUCAAUGGUGACUGCUCUCUUUGUCAGCCAAUCACAAAAUUUAUAAUUUUCAGUGUAUUUUUAACUUUUAAAAUACUGUCACCAAUAGUAUAUAUAUAUACUGUGUACUAUGUCUUGAUUUUAUAUACCCAAAUCAUAGAGACGGAGAGAGAGAGAGAGUCUAACUAGAAAUUUUUUCUUUUCUUUGAAAACCUAGUGAGACUGUGUCAGACUUUGUGAAGUGAACCCCAUCAGAGUCCCCGAAUCAUGAAGAAAGGAAACUUGGGGCUUGGUCUCAAACUCUCUGUUCCUGUUUCUGAUCAAUCCAAUUUUGCCAAGUUCCUGACUGAAAGUGGGACUUUUAAGGAUGGGGAUCUGCUUGUCAACAGGGAUGGAGUUCGAAUUGUCUCUCAGAGUGAUGUCGAAGCUCCACCUCCAAUCAAGCCUACAGACGACCAGUUAACUUUGGCAGAUGUAGAUGUUAUCAAAGUUGUUGGAAAGGGAAAUGGAGGGGUAGUCCAAUUGGUACAACAUAAAUGGACUAGUCAGUUUUUUGCAUUGAAGGUAAUUCAAAUGAAUAUUGAGGAGUCUAUGAGAAAGCAGAUUGCACAAGAGUUGAAAAUUAAUCAACAGGCACAGUGUCCUUAUGUUGUUGUCUGCUAUCAAUCAUUUUAUGAAAACGGUGUCAUAUCAAUCAUCCUAGAGUACAUGGAUGGGGGUUCCUUAGCUGAUCUACUGAGGAAAGUUAAAACAAUUCCAGAGCCUUUUCUUGCUGCCAUCUGUAAGCAGGUGCUGAAGGGUUUAGUUUAUCUUCACCAUGAAAAGCAUAUUAUCCACAGAGACUUGAAACCUUCUAAUUUGUUAAUAAAUCAUAUAGGAGAAGUAAAGAUUACUGACUUUGGUGUGAGUGCAAUUAUGGAAAGUACAUCUGGUCAAGCAAAUACCUUCAUUGGAACUUACAACUAUAUGUCUCCGGAGAGAAUCAAUGGAAGCCAGCGAGGCUACAACUAUAAAAGUGAUAUAUGGAGUUUGGGACUAAUAUUGCUAGAGUGUGCUUUGGGGCGGUUUCCAUAUACACCAGAAGAUCAAAGUGAAAUUUGGGAAAGCAUUUUCGAGCUUAUUGAAACCAUUGUUGAUAAACCUCCUCCUAUUCCUCCGUCUGGACAAUUUUCUACAGAAUUCUGCUCAUUUAUCUCAGCAUGUCUACAGAAAGACCCAAAGAAUCGACUGUCAGCUCAGGAAUUAAUGGGACAUCCUUUUGUCAGCUUGUAUGAUGACUUGGAGGUGAAUCUUUCAUCUUACUUCUCCAAUGCAGGAUCUCCUCUUGCUACCUUAUAAAGGCAGAAGUAGUUUUUGUUCUGUAUCGAGGAAUUUGUUUUCUUUGACAAUGCUUUGAAGAGCACUGCUUGCAAAUAUGAGGAGCGAUUGCAGAUGAGUUGAAGAACCAGCUCCUAGAGUUACGUCAAAGAUUAUUCUGUACUUAGUUAUUGAGUGAUUGAGUUCAAGAAUUUGUUGAGAAACUCAGAUGCAAGGGUCAAGAAGUUGCAGCAAAAUGUUUAAAAUUUUAUGAUUGCAACAGAAUGUAUCACUGGGAUUUGUCCGAGUUGCUGAUAAUAUGAUCUGAUGUACAAACUUGUAUGAGAUGAAAGCUUUGUCAGGCAGUCCCAAAUGAACCAUAAAUCUGAGUCACGCUAGCUGAACAGUUUCUCAAGCUAUAUUUGAGACUUUGUAUUUGGUUUAGUCUUGUCAAAUUGUCUGAUUGAUGUUCGAGUGUU